rnacentral:rRNA from 1 species
CUACGGGACGCACCAGUGAGGAAUAUUGCACAAUGGGGGGAACCCUGAUGCAGCAACGCCGCGUGGAGGAUGACGCAUUUCGGUGUGUAAACUCCUUUUAUAUGUCAAGAAAAUGACGGUAGCAUAUGAAUAAGCACCGGCUAACUCCGUGCCAGCAGCCGCGGUAAUACGGAGGGUGCAAGCGUUACUCGGAACCACUGGGCGUAAAGGACGCGUAGGCGGGUUGGAAAGUCAGGUGUGAAAUCCUACAGCUUAACUGUAGAACUGCACUUGAAACUUCUAAUCUAGAGUAUGGGAGGGGGAGAUGGAAUUAGUGGUGUAGGGGUAAAAUCCGUAGAUAUCACUAGGAAUACCUAAAGCGAAGGCGAUCUCCUGGAACAUUACUGACGCUAAGGCGUGAAAGCGUGGGGAGCAAACAGGAUUAGAUACCCCGGUAGUC